rnacentral:tmRNA from 1 species
GGGGCUGAUUCUGGAUUCGACGGGAUUUGCGAAACCCAAGGUGCAUGCCGAGGGGCGGUUUGCCUCGUUAAAAGCCGCAAAAAAAUAGUCGCAAACGACGAAAACUACGCUUUAGCAGCUUAAUAACCUGCUCUGAGCCCUCUCUCCCUAGCUUCCGCUCUUAAGACGGGGAUCAAAGAGAGGUCAAACCCAAAAGAG